rnacentral:rRNA from 1 species
AGUAGUUUGAUCAUGGCUCGAGGACGAACGCUGGCGGCGUGCUUUAGACAUGCAAGUCGAACGAGAUCUUCGGAUCUAGUGGCGAACGGCGGAGUAAUACAUAAACAACGUGCCCUGAAGACUGGGAUAUACGGUCGAAAGGCCGAGCAAUACCGGAUGUGGCCGAGACUAGGCAUCUAGACUCGAUUAAAUGGUUUUUCGCUUCAGGAGCGGUUUAUGACUCAUCAGCUAGUUGUAGGGUAAUGGCCUACCAAGGCUACGACGGGUAGGGGGUCUGAGAGGAUGAUCCCCCCGAGUGGGACUGAGACACGGCCCACACACCUACGGGUGGCAGCAGUUUGGAAUCUUGCCCAAUGGGGGAAACCCUGAGGCAGCGACGCCGCGUGGAGGAUGAAGGAUUUAGGUCUGUAAACUCCUUUUGCCAGGAAAGACUUAGGACGGUACCUGGCGAAUAAGCUCCGGCUAACUACGUG